ACCUGGCUGGCUCAGUCGGUAGAGCACGUGACUCUUGGUCUCGGGUUUGUAAGUUCGAGCCCCACACUGGGUG
rnacentral:tRNA from 1 species